rnacentral:rRNA from 1 species
UACAGCGGUCCCAAGCGUUGUUCGGAUUCACUGGGCGUAAAGGGUGCGUAGGCGGUCGGGUAAGUCUGAUGUGAAAUCUCACAGCUUAACUGUGAAACUGCAUUGGAUACUAUCCGGCUUGAGGAAUGGAGGGGAGACUGGAAUACUUGGUGUAGCAGUGAAAUGCGUAGAUAUCAAGUGGAACACCAGUGGCGAAAGCGGCGCACUGGACCACAACUGACGCUGAGGCGCGAAAGCUAGGGGAGCAAACAGG